rnacentral:rRNA from 1 species
UACGGAGGGUGCAAACGUUGCUCGGAAUCAUUGGGCGUAAAGCGCACGUAGACGGCUCGUUAAGUCGGGUGUGAAAGCCCUGGGCUCAACCCAGGAAGUGCAUUCGAAACUGGCGAGCUUGAAUAUGGAAGAGGGUCGCGGAAUUCCCGGUGUAGAGGUGAAAUUCGUAGAUAUCGGGAGGAACACCAGUGGCGAAGGCGGCGACCUGGGCCAAUAUUGACGCUGAGGUGCGAAAGCGUGGGGAGCAAACGGG